CAGCUGAUCAGAGGCGAGUCUGAGGCCAGAGAUCCAGCUUCUUGGAGGAAGUUCUUCGUCAUCCUGACAGGAAGAACAAACGGAGCUCAUCAAUCUGUUGUUAAAAACUUUAAAUCUUUGGGUCAGACUGAGGCGAGGUCU